UGCACGGUGGCUUAGUGGUUAGCAUGUUAGCCUCACACCUCCAGGGACUGGGGUUCGAUUCCCGUGUGUGCAG